GCAUAUCAAUAAGCGGAGGAAAAGAAACUAACAAGGAUUCCCCUAGUAACGGCGAGUGAAGAGGGAAAAGCUCAAAUUUAAAAGCUGUUGUCUUUCAGGCAACCGCAUUGUAAUCUCAAGAAGUGUUUUCGAUUGUAGCCUGCGUAUAAGUACCUUGGAAUAGGUUGGCAUAGAGGGUGAAACUCCCGUCUUUGAUGCAGAUUACUAUGAUCAUGUGAUACACUUUCUAAGAGUCGAGUUGUUUGGGAAUGCAGCUCAAAAUGGGUGGUAAAUUCCAUCUAAAGCUAAAUAUUGGCCUGAGACCGAUAGCGAACAAGUACCGUGAGGGAAAGAUGAAAAGCACUUUGGAAAGAGAGUCAAACAGAACGUGAAAUUGCUGAAAGGGAAGCGUUUGAAGUUAGUCUGAUAGGAGUUGUUCAAUUGUUACUUUGGUUUCAAUGUAUGCAACUUUUUAUCGGUCAACAUCAAUUUUGAUUGAUGGAUAAAGGUAAUAGGAAUGUGGCUACAAUUUGUAGUGUUAUAGCCUAUUAUCAUAAACAUUGAUUGAGAUUGAGGACGGCAGUGUACCUUUUAGGAAGGUGUUCGCACCUAUUACACUAAGGAUGUUGACAAAAUAGCUUUAAGCGACCCGUCUUGAAACACGGACCAAGGAGUCUAACAUAUCUGCGAGUAUUUGAGUGACAAACUCGAAUGCGUAAUGAAAGUGAAUGUAGGUGUGAAGCGUAAGCUGCAACAUCGACCGAUCUGGAAUUUUUAUAAUGAUGGAUUUGAGUAAGAGCAUAUAUGUUGGGACCCGAAAGAUGGUGAACUAUGCCUGAAUAGGGUGAAGCCAGAGGAAACUCUGGUGGAGGCUCGUAGCGGUUCUGACGUGCAAAUCGAUCGUCAAAUUUGGGUAUAGGGGCGAAAGACUAAUCGAACCAUCUAGUAGCUGGUUCCUGCG
rnacentral:rRNA from 1 species